UUUAAUUUUUUUUCUAAACAUGGUAAACCGGUGUGUUUUGUGCUUCGCCACCGUCGCCGACGGUGUCAGUUUACACAAGUAUCCGAGGGAUGCCCAAAGGGCCGAUUCCUGGCUACAGUUUGUCGUGGCUUGCGGCCGUAAUCCGUCGGACGUAAACGUACGCAAUGCGUUUUUGUGUUACCGGCAUUUUCUGCCCAGCGACUACGGUAGCAGUACUGUGCGCAGGGUGCUCAACCGGAACGCCGUAACGUCUGUCAGUAUCACGGAGCAACAUGAUGAGGCCGACAUUGAAAUUGUUCGCGUGGUGGACAUUGAUGUUGGUGAUGCUGGACCAUUCGGAGGAAAUGUCGUCGCUGGCGGUGUUGGUGCCAGUGGAAACGAUUUG